UACAGAGGUCCCAAGCGUUGUUCGGAUUCAUUGGCGUAAAGGGUGCGUAGGUGGUAGACUAAGUCGGAUGUGAAAUCCCAGGGCUCAACCCUGGAACUGCAUUCGAUACUGGCCUGCUCGAGGACUGGAGAGGAGAUUGGAAUUCAUGGUGUAGCAGUGAAAUGCGUAGAUAUCAUGAGGAAGACCAGUGGCGAAGGCGGAUCUCUGGACAGUUCCUGACACUGAGGCACGAAGGCUAGGGGAGCAAACGGG
rnacentral:rRNA from 1 species